GGUGAAUUUAAUCCCAGGAAGUCUGGCUCCCAAAUCCUGUACUCUUAGCCACUAGGCCACACUCUCUAUAUUAAAGGCACAAAGCAAGCCAAGAGCAGUGUGUAGAGUGUGCUGUCAUUUGUGUGAACAAAACAGGAUGACUAGGGAGAGAAUUUUUUUAAA